GGGUGAUCAGCAGGGAAUUGUGAGCCCAGUCUCUAUUCCCCAGCAGCAGUGUGAUAUGCAGGGAAUAGAGAGCCCAGUCUCCAUUCCCCAGUGGCAGUGUGAUUUGCAGGAAACAGAGAGCCCAGUUUCCUUUCCCCAGCGGCAGGCUGAGUUACAGAGGGCAGAGACAGUCGGUCCUGUCCCCCAGCAGCAGAGUGUUAUAUUAUGAGAGGAGUGCCUUGUCCUCCCUCCCCAGCGGCAGAUACAGCAGGGAAUAGAGAGCCCAGUCUCCUUUCCCCAGUGGCAGGCUGAAUUAGAGGGGGC